UACGGGGGGAGCAAGCGUUGUUCGGAUUUACUGGGCGUAAAGGGCGCGUAGGCGGCCAACUAAGUCGGAUGUGAAAUCCCCAGGCUCAACUUGGGAACUGCAUCCGAUACUGGAUGGCUUGAAUUCGGGAGAGGGAUGCAGAAUUCCAGGUGUAGCGGUGAAAUGCGUAGAUAUCUGGAGGAAUACCGGUGGCGAAGGCGGCAUCCUGGACCGACAUUGACGCUGAGGAGCGAAAGCUAGGGGAGCAAACGGGG
rnacentral:rRNA from 1 species